GGGGAAUAUUGCACAAUGGGCGCAAGCCUGAUGCAGCCAUGCUGCGUGUGUGAAGAAGGCCUUCGGGUUGUAAAGCACUUUCAGCGAGGAGGAAGGCGUUAAGGUUAAUAACCUUGGCGAUUGACGUUACUCGCAGAAGAAGCACCGGCUAACUCCGUGCCAGCAGCCGCGGUAAUACGGAGGGUGCAAGCGUUAAUCGGAAUUACUGGGCGUAAAGCGCACGCAGGCGGUUUGUUAAGUCAGAUGUGAAAUCCCCGAGCUUAACUUGGGAACUGCAUUUGAAACUGGCAAGCUAGAGUCUUGUAGAGGGGGGUAGAAUUCCAGGUGUAGCGGUGAAAUGCGUAGAGAUCUGGAGGAAUACCGGUGGCGAAGGCGGCCCCCUGGACAAAGACUGACGCUCAGGUGCG
rnacentral:rRNA from 1 species